rnacentral:rRNA from 1 species
UACGCAGGGUGCGAGCGUUGUCCGGAGUUAUUGGGCGUAAAGAGCUUGUAGGCGGUUUGUCGCGUCUGCUGUGAAAAUCCGGGGCUCAACCCCGGACUUGCAGUGGGUACGGGCAGACUGGAGUGUGGUAGGGGAGACUGGAAUUCCUGGUGUAGCGGUGGAAUGCGCAGAUAUCAGGAGGAACACCGAUGGCGAAGGCAGGUCUCUGGGCCACUACUGACGCUGAGAAGCGAAAGCAUGGGGAGCGAACAGG